GACAGAGGGUGCAAACGUUGUUCGGAAUCACUGGGCGUAAAGCGCGUGUAGGCGGCAAUGCAAGUCGGAUGUGAAAUCCCGCGGCUCAACCGUGGAAGUGCACCCGAAACUGCAUAGCUUGAGUGUCGGAGAGGAAGGUGGAAUGCUUGGUGUAGAGGUGAAAUUCGUAGAUAUCAAGCGGAACACCGGUGGCGAAGGCGGCCUUCUGGACGACGACUGACGCUGAGACGCGAAAGCGUGGGUAGCAAACAGG
rnacentral:rRNA from 1 species